UACAGAGGCCUCGAGCGUUAGGCGGAAUCACUGGGCUUAAAGCGUGUGUAGGCGGACUUCUAAGUACCUUGUGAAAUCCCACGGCUUACCCGUGGAACUGCUCGGUAUACUGGGAGUCUUGAGCCACCUAGGGGCGAGUGGAACAAAUGGUGGAGCGGUGAAAUGCGUAGAUAUCAUUUGGAACGCCAAUGGUGAAAACAACUCGCUGGGGGUGUGCUGACGCUGAGACACGAAAGCCAGGGGAGCGAAUGGG
rnacentral:rRNA from 1 species